GUCUGAACAUUUAAGCUAAAUUGAUACAUGAAUAGUAAAACUGCGUUGUGUAUCGACUUGAUUGAUUGUUCUUGUGAUGAUCGCGCAGGCAUAACCCGGGUGCGUUAAUGUGAUGUAUUGUGAUAUUGCCAAGACCUGGGUGAAUGCCAGUGUAUCGCCACCCAGGCCAAGUCCCAUGUGUUUUGUGUUCAAAACCAAGGUUAUGUUCUC